UAGCUUCUCCUGUUGGGCUGGAGGACUAGGAGAAGGAAGAGGCACCGCCACAUGCAGGAGGCUGGAGCCCGUGCCACCGCGGCUCGGCUCGCCUCGCUGUGGUUGAUGGUGAUGUUGGAGACUGCAGCUCGGCCACAGUAAUAGAAAUGUGAUCGGGCAGGAUUGAGAGGAAGAAGGGAUGCAACUUCAUAACUAUUGGGGGAUUAACUAACAGAGGAAGACGAGAAAAGAAAAAAAAAUUUCUGCUUGAGCUGAUUAACUGCCUGCCAGCUACCCAGACCAUCCUCCCUCCUCAUGUGGAAGUUGCCUGCUUCUCCUUCAACUUCUGCCACGACUGCAAGUUUCCUGAGGCUUCCUCAUCCAUGUGAAACUGCCAGUGACACAGAAGUUCUUUCCCAUAAGGAGCUCCUGUGACCACUCGGGUUGCGAGGACAGACGCACACCGGCCGUGUUCUGAAGUGGCUUACCUGCUAGGACCUCUGCUCUGCCAAAGGGACAGACUUCUCUGUCAUCACUCCCCAGAAGCUGGAAGAAGGAGCCACAGCCAUGCCAGGAGCAGAGCCAGGGUGUGCAGGACGCAGGACACAGCAGCAGCAGCCACAUAUGAUGGGCUGUCUACACACAAGGAGGAGAUAGGAUUCCAUUCUUGAGAUGCCUGUGGCUGCUUCUGUUGGAUCUGGUGACAGUGCUUUCCGGAUUUCUCAGAGGAUCAUCUGUGCAACACCCUGAGGAAAGCAGUAGCAUAGAAAUUACACAGUUCUACUGGAGAUUCACCUUCAUCCAAAUCAAAGAUGAAGCGUUUUGGGGGCAAUAAUAGGAUGUUAAUUGUUAAUCAAUUCUGGGUCCUGGGAAUAUGAGAGAGCUUAGUUAUCUAUAUUUUAUAUUCCUCUUUAAAAAUCUUUAAAAUUUAAAAGUUUAAAAAAGCACCAAACAUGCCAUGAUUAUUUUCUCUUGAGAUAUUUAAGGAUUAGAGACACUUUAAAAAUAUACAUAAAGCAAGUCUGGCACAUACAUAUUCCUAACAUAGCAAAACUGUGUCAUUCCAGAGAUUUUGACAUACUUUGGAAUGGGCACCUUGGUGAUCUACAGUUUUCAAUAACAGUACACUUACACCUUCAAUAAGAACUCCAGCUUCUCUGCAGCUUUAUUUCCUAAAGAGGUCAUGCUGACCAGACAGACAGCCACACUGAGCUUCCGAACCACCAUCCCCCAGCUUACUGCUAUACAAGAGCUCCUUCCAUGAGGAAUACCUUUCAGUUGUUCUCACCCUAAAUGGUGAGUGUCCUCAGCAUAAGAAAAGAGUGAGGCCAAAUAUUAUGACCAUAACAAGGUGGGGCCUUUCAGUGUUCAAACCACAAACAAGAAACUCAGCAACAUUCCCUGCAACUGUCAUUUUAUUAGCAUUGGUUUAUUUUUCAUUAUAACCCUAAACAUUUAUCAAAAAAGUUAAAUUUUGGUGAUUAAA